CUUUCGGAGAUGUGUUUCAGUGCAGACGAAGUUGUUUUUCAUUCCCCCUCCCUCCCUCUUCCGUCUCCACAAAAGCGACCGUAAGCGCUCACAAUGGCGUCAAUAGAACGGAGGUCCGUUUUCAUUUCAUGGCUUCGAUUUUCUCAUGGUUUAGUUGAGUCUGAAGGAGAUGGACGCUUUCUCUUUCUUUCUAAUGGAGCCGGAGAAUUCGUUCGCCAUUUAUCUAUCGCAAGUUUCCUGAGGACAUUAGUGUUGAUGUUGCACAUGAAGUCAGACGAGUUUCUGAGAAUGGACACAAGAACUUGAAGGUGAUUGUUGGAGUGGACGCGUCUGAUCAAGAAUCGAAGGGCUGCCGCUACUGCAGAAGUAGAGAUCAGUCUGCACUUUACGGAUCGGAAGGAACUAAAAGRUUUAUGCCUCGUAUAUCAAAAGUCAUCUUUUACCGGUAAUUUCUUUAGAAGAUCAGCAGUUAGCAACUGGAACAAGGUUGUAACUGCCACAAACACUACUCCAUUGCAAUAAAAACGCCCGAUAAUGGAACCGGAGAAUUUGUUCUUCACUUAUCUAUCGCAGUUAGUUCCCGAAGGACAUUAAUGUUGAUGUUGAACCUGAAGUCAGAUGAGUUUCUGAGAAUUGACACAAGAACUUGAAGGUGAUUGUGGGAGCAGACGCGUCUGAGCAAGAAUCGAAGGGCUGCCUCUACUGCAGGUGACCACUGUUUAUCAUUUUCAAGCGCUUUUAGUUUAUGCUGUUUUCACUUUCUCUGUUCUUUUUUCUCAAAAUGAUUUCUCCCUCGUAUACCAAGAGUCAAGAUCUUCUAUUGUCUGUCUCAUUCUGUGAGUUUUCUCUGACACUCUUCAAGCCAAGUCGAAGAUCUUCCAUCUUUCAGUGCUUAUUUCGUUAGCACAUCAGCAGUUAGCAGCCACGCUUUCUCCAAAGCGGAAAACAGGUAAGGAAUUUCUGAAAGUUCGUUCUUCAUGUCAGUUUUCUCGGACACUCUUCAAGCAAAGUUGAAGAUGGAAAUGAGAUUAGCAAUUAGCAGCCACGCUUUCUCCAUGGUUGAAAACAGGAGGUUGAAGAUCCGCAUUGAAUCCCUUUCCAGUUGAAAGUGCCAGAAACCCAACUUCAUUGCAAGAAAGACCUGACAUUGGCUAUGAAUCAGUUUGCGAGAUUAGCUGAUGGGGGCAGCAACCGUUGUUCUUGUGUUCUCUCCCCUCG